CUACAGUAUCUCAGGGCCUUAUUUUCAAUAUCUUAACUGGAUUUUUAAUAAAAGUCUUACUGAAUAGGUAACACUUGUUUCCAAAAACUAUGCUCACCUGUCAAUGAUUCAGAAUUCGUCUCUGUCAUCCCUCUGCUACUUAGCAUUCAGUGCCCUCUACUGCCCUCCCCGACUCCACCAAAAUUCUCUCAGGCCCCAACAGUGGCAUGGAUUCUGCUCUCGAUGCUUUCUUCCACUUUCCUGUCAAAAUGCAUUUAAAUCCCAUUCGCCAUGAGUAUUUUUAUGAGCUGCUUCUCACUAGAGUGAUUACGACUGUCCUUAAAUGUGGCUUAAUGUUUGCCCUCUGAAAGAAUUUGAAUUUUAACAGAGAACUUCUGAAUACGCAAAACCUUCACCCCAAAUAAUCAAUCUUUAAGGGAUUUCGGGCGCCAACUAGAAAAGUAAUAAGGGCACAGACUGAUCUGUUUGUAUCUGCUAAUAGAAACACGGAUUUUUGUCUAUUAAAAAGUGAUAGAAAUGUCUAUGAUUAAUGUUUUCUUUCCUAUGCCACAUCAUGCGGUGCUUGCACAUGGUUUUAUGCUUGACUUCCCAUUGCUAAGGAUAAAGAAUCAAAUUAUAUUAGAGCUUGUUUUUGGAAACCCAAGGGGUACAUGUAGUUAAUUAGAGAUAUGCCCUCUGUUUAUUUUCCCUGUUUUUCCUAAGGGAUGUAAAAAACAUUUUCAAUAGUAUUCCUUCUGGA
rnacentral:lncRNA from 1 species